rnacentral:rRNA from 1 species
AAAGGAAUAGACGGGAGCCCGCACAAGCAGUGGAGUAUGUGGUUCAAUUCGAUGCAACGCGAAGAACCUUACCGGAGCUUGACAUCCUAAGAAUACCGAUGUAAUGUUGGUAGUGCCCCUUUUGGGGAGCUUAGAGACAGGUGGUGCAUGGUUGUCGUCAGCUCGUGUCGUGAGAUGUUGGGUUAAGUCCCGCAACGAGCGCAACCCCUACGGUUAGUUGCUACGCAAGAGCACUCUAGCCGGACUGCCGUUGACAAAACGGAGGAAGGUGGGGAUGACGUCAAAUCAUCAUGCCCCUUACGUUCCGGGCUACACACGUACUACAAUGGCGUAAACAAAGGGAAGCGAAUUCGCGAGGAGGAGCCAACCCCAUAAAAGACGCCCCAGUUCGGACUGCAGGCUGCAACCCGCCUGCACGAAGUUGGAAUUGCUAGUAAUCGCGGAUCAGAAUGCCGCGGUGAAUACGUUCCCGGGCUUUGUACACACCGCCCGU